rnacentral:pre_miRNA from 1 species
ACAAAAAACAGCCUUCUCUUCCCGGUUCUUCCAGGAGUCAGGAAAAGCUGGGUUGAGAGGGCAGGGAAAAAAAAAA